ncrna:unclassified sequences Downstream peptide RNA
GUCCGUUCAUCCUUUAAUUAGGACGCAUGAAUUCACAGCAUGGAACGGGGCUGUGAU